GCCGCUUUAGCUCAGCUGGGAGAGCGUCAGACCGAAGAUCUGAAGGUCCCUGGUUCAAUCCCAGGUGGUGGCA